GUGAAUGCAAGAUUUGAAAACACAUCUGCUGCUAAAUCAGUUUCCCUGAAAUGCUGGCUGUCAACUUUCUCAGCUACGAUGUGGUUGGAUUUCCAGGCAAACAGUGUCAUGGGAUGUUUGACCAAGGCUCCGUUGGAGGCUGCACUUUAUGGAAUGUUAGUUCUUGAUUGUCUUUUUAGGAUUUCAUACCAUUCUGAUGAUCAAAAUUAAGAUGUGAUUGAUAAAUUGAAACCCAAAAGAAUCUUCCCAAUCGUGCUCUUAAAUUGUGCCAGAAUAAAGCUGUGAAGAUAAUCACAAACUUCAUUAUGGAUACAAGACUUUGCAUUGACUCGUGAACCUCAGGUUUCAGCAAAAGAUGAAGGCAAUCCAAUGCAUCUAAAUUCGGAAAGGAUUUACACUGUGCUGAAAUGAUAUAAUUCAUGAAUGUUAUGGAAUUUCACAGCUAAGGUUAGGGUUAUCCAGAACUAGGCUGCAUCUUUUCACUGCUAUUAAGUGGUCAUCUGGAUUUUUGAAGCUCACUUCUAGUAGCUCUUCACAAGCAAUAAUUAUGUUUUAUGGAUUGUUAUGUAUGCUGAAGCUGCUCAAAAAAAUCUGAGAGGUAUUUGGUUUCUAACUUUCCCCUUCUUAAUACCUUGAUCUAUUUGCGUAUUUCUAAAUAUUUAGGCCCCCUUACAAACUGUACUGAAAAUGUUUAUAUUACCUGUAUGCUGCUUCCAUGUUAUAUAUAUGGAAACAAUUUUUGGUUGAAUUUUAUUAAACUUCUGUUGUGAAUAUGUGCUAUUAAUCUUGCCAUUUCUCCAUAUUCUCCAAGUUUAAGUUUGUAGUCAGAUGUCAUCAGAAUAGGGUCUUUCUUCCAAAAUUUAUUCUUGCUGCUAAGAGCAUGUAUCUUAGUACAUUAUGAUAUUUCUGGUUGAUAUAUUCUGAAAUUAUACAUAGUAAAUAGAUAGUUUAUUAAUUGAUUGGUGAUAUGAUCAUAUCAAAAAUAAAAAUAAAAUACAGGAUCUAAUUUUAGCGUAAAAUAGAAGAAAGAAAAUAUAGUAAUAAAAUAUAUAUGUGGUAAAUGCAAAGAAUCAACCUUCCGAUAAAUACAUCACUUUUACAAUUGUUUGAUGUAACAGGUUCUUAUCUCAACUGCCUUAACUAUAAACUUAGCAGUUCUGCUCAUAAUAUAUACAUUAGAGCCCAGAAGGAAAUAGGACAAUCUGCAGUUCAGAUCCCAGUAAGCUGUUCUUACAGGUAGGGUUAUUAAAUAUCUAAGCCUAAAGGAGGGCAUAUCAUUGACAGUUAAAGAAAAUAUGAGGUAGGCACCACAUAUACAUAUCCUCUCAUGAUAUGGCAGGUGAUAGAAGUGCUCAUAUUUGACUGUGGAAUCCAUCAACACAGAUCUUGCUCCAGAAUAGGCCCUUCUUAAGAACUGUGUCAAACUCAUUGAUGGGUAUUUUCUCAAAUUGGAAAAUAAUUUUGUUCUUAGCCAACCAACUUAAAAAUCUAUUUUUGCCAAUAACUCCAUGUCACUUUGGACACUGACAUCUAGAGAUCUUAAGCUUGGGAGUCACUUGAGAGUAAACACUGAGUAGAAAACCCAUGCUGUGAAAUAACUUUGGUGAGUCAGCUUACUCAGGAAUUGGACUGAGCCAUUCUUAUCUAUUAUGCCAAACCUAUUUUUGGGUAGCUUAUUGGGAUCCAUUGAAUGGAUCCUCUGCCAGGGUUGAAGAAUUAUACAUAGGGAAAAAAAGAGUGAUUCCUUUCAAAUUUAAUUUUUCUGUAUAAUGCUAUGCAUAUAUUUCCACAACAUGGGAUAAAAUGUUCUUCCCAUUUCAUGGCAUUUAUUACGUGAUUUGUCUAUCUUGGAGAUUAUUGAUGGAUUCUGUACCAUCUGUAAAACAUUUUAUACCAAGUUUCUUUUAGAUUGCAGCUUGGAGUGGAGUUUAUGGAUUUGGUCUAUAAUUCUUUCUAUCAUUGUUGCUUUAAGUUUUACAUCCAUUUUAUCAGAUAUUUUUAAAUUUGUUUUGUCUCUGUGUCAUAUCUGAGUUUGUAUAUGCAUUCUAAUAGAUUGUAUUGGUCUUGUGUAAAUUCUGCCAUUUUUCUUAAUGUCCUUCCCUCAUUCUUAGGAUCAUAUAUUAAUCUUUCCAACAAUUUGUAAAUACAUCAAGCAUGAUAUGUUCCAGCCUCCACUGAACAAUUCUUGCUGUGUCUUUAGUCAAUUCAUUGCGUCUGAGUGGUAGACUAGGAUUACAUUUUUCUUACUGUAAUUAUCUCCAAUAUGAAAAGGAUUUGAAGGAUUACAUUAAAAUGCAUUUUGGAUUUUUCCAAAUGUAGUAUUCUAUGGACAUUUAAAGGCUGUUACUAAAGUUGAUAUUGGUAUAUUGCAUGAAUAAAAAAUAACUUGAAAUCUUA